CUAAGUAGAACACUUUAAGAAAGGGACAAUGAAGGAACACAAGAACUUACAAAGAAGGCUUUGUAUUGAAUAAGGAUACUCUUUACAACUUCACUCUCUUGAUGCCUUCAAAUGAAUCCUACCAAGCUAUUUAUAGUAGUAGCCUCCUCAAAUGGAUGGCUAGGAUCUUUUCUAUCCAAUGGUCUAGAUUACACAUCUAGAAUUACCUAUACAAAUAUUUACAUUAAAAUAUUUAUGGACUAAACUAGGAUGAUCUAGAAUAAUCCACCAAGUGAGGAGCUUGUAGGCUUCUAGAAUGUCCCACCAUAUUCUAGCAAUCUUCAUGCACUUGUGGGAGUCUAGAAUAUUCCGGUUAGCCUCAAGUCGUCAACAUUUUAAAUUUCUCGAUCUUCUUGUGCCAAAAUCGAGCGAGUCGUGACAUUCUCCCCUGCCUAUUUGGGCGACGCCCUCGUCGCNNNNNNNNNNNNNNNNNNNNNNNNNNNNNNNNNNNNNNNNNNNNNNNNNNNNNNNNNNNNNNNNNNNNNNNNNNNNNNNNAUGAAUCUUUAAAGUGCUAGGUAGGUCAAGGCGAUAAGAUACCUUGCCAACCUUAGCUGUCACCGGGAACGGCCCUUCAUAUCUCCGUACCAAGCCUUUGUGCACACUUCGGUACGCCUUGAAUUGUUGAGGUAAUAUUUUCACAAGGACUUGGUCGCCAACUUUAAAAUCCAAAGGCCGUCUCUUCUUAUCGGCCUACUUCUUCAUGAGCCUCCGUGCUUUGUUUAAACAAGAUCGUGCUAAGUCAGCAUGCUCUUCCCAUGACUUAGCCAUUUUGUAUGCUCCGGGACUUUUCCCUCCUUCAAUAGAAGUGGACAAAGUGUGGGGUGUUAGUGGUUGUUGUCCUGUCGCCAACUCGAAUGGACUCCGCCCCGUGGCUUUACUCCUUUGUAAAUUGUAGGAAAAUUGUGCAAUAUCCAGGAGCUUGGCCCAAUCUCUCUGAUUGGCACUUACAAAGUGCCGGAGAUAGCACUCCAACAAAGCAUUCACCCUUUUUGUUUGUCCAUCCAUCUGAGGGUGAAAGCUUGUAGAGAAGUGUAGGUCCGAGCCUAGGAGUUUGAACAACUCCGUCCACAGCCGACCCGUGAAUCGGGGAUCACGAUCACUUAUUAUGCUCCGCGGUAACCCCCAAUACUUCACAACAUUCUUGAAGAAUAGCCUUGCUGCUUCCUCUGCUGUGCAAUCCUUGGUGACAGGAAUGAAGGUGCCGUACUUAGAGAAUCGAUCAACCACCACCAUUAUUGACCCGAACCCUUCAAAUUUAGGCAGGGCACUAAUGAAGUCCAUGGUGAUAGAGUCCCAUGGAUGCUCCGGGACUGGUAGACGCUCCAACAAACCUGCUGGUGUCUUUGUUUCCACCUUGUCUUGUGCACCUUGUCUUGUUGGCACACAAGACAAGUCUUUACAUAGAGCUCCACCAUUUCUUUCAUUUGCGGCCAAUAGUAAGCUCGUUCAAGUAGUGCCAAUGUGCGUUUCUGCCCUGGAUGACCAGCCCACUUUGUGUCAUGGCACUCCUUGAUGAUAUCUCGCCACAAAUUGUUCCAUUUAGGAACAUAGAUACGCUGUCCCGUAGUGUAGAGUAAGCCGUCCUCGACCCAAAACCGUCGCGUCUUUCCUUCUUAGGCAGCUUUUACCAACUCCUUAGCCAAGGGAUCAUGAUCCAUGCCUUCCCGAAUCAAAUCAAGCAACGUCCCUUUGGCUUGGCUUAUGGCUGCAAGCUCCGCCUUCCUGCUUAACGCAUCGGCUACAACAUUCGCCUUCCCCGGCUUGUAUUCCAUCACAUAGUCAAACUCCGCUAAGAAAUCUUGCCAACGUGCUUGCUUGGGAGUCAGCUUCUUUUGUGAUUGGAAAUAACUAGUAGCGACACUAUCUGUCUUGAUGAUGAAUUUUGAGCCCAACAAGUAAUAACGCCACACUCGUAGGCAAUGAACAAUAGCCGUCAUCUCCUUUUCUUGCACCGUAUACCGACGCUCAGUGUCGUUGAGCUUGCGACUUUCAAAAGCAAUAGGAUGCCUGUUUUGCAUUAGAACACCCCCGAUAGCAAAGUCUGAGGCAUCUGUUUGUACUUCAAAGGUCUUGGUGAAAUCCGGCAAUGCUAAGACCGGUUUCUCCAUCACGAUCGCCUUCAAAUUAUCAAAGGCCGUUUGAUAUUUCUUAGACCAAUCCCCUGUCUUAUUCUUCUUCAAUAGGUCCAUUAGUGGGGCUGCCCUCGCUGAGUAGCCUUGGAUGAACCGCCGAUAAUAAUUAACUAGACCAAGGAAAGAACGAAGUUCGGUUACCUUGGUUGGUGCUUCCCACUCCUUGAUUGCUUUUACUUUUGCCUCAUCCAUCUUCAAGCGCCCGUGGCCAAUGAUAUGUCCAAGGAAGUGCACCUCCUCCUUGGCAAAGGAACAUUUUUCCUUUUUGAUGUAUAGCUCAUUCUCCUGCAAUGCUUGGAACACCGUUCGGAGAUAUUUUGCGUGAUCCUCCAAGUUGUCGCUAUAGAUGACAAUGUCAUCCAAGUAUACCACCACGAACUUGUCCAAGUAAGGUUGGAAAAUCCUAUUCAUCAAUGUGCAAAAUGUGGCCGGGGCGUUGGUUAAGCCAAAAGGCAUUACCAACCAUUCGAAUGAGCCAUAUCGAGUGAUGCAUGCUGUCUUAGGCUCAUCCCCUUCUGCAAUCCAUACUUGGUAAUAUCCCUUUUAUAGAUCCACCUUUGUGUAAUAUUUUGCACUACCAAGACUAUCAAAUAAAUCAGCAAUCAAAGGAAUAGGAUACUUGUUUUUAAUUGUUACCUUGUUGAGCGCCCGGUAAUCUACACACAUGCGUAACGAUCCAUCAUGCUUCUUUUGGAACAAGACCGAAGCGCCACAAGGUGCCUUCGAAGGUCGUAUCCUCCCCGUGUCAAGCAACUCCGUCAAUUACUUUCGAAGUUCUUCCAGCUCCGGCGGUGCCAUCCGAUAGGGUGCCAUGGAUGGUGGUUUGGCACCCGGCUCCAACUCAAUCUUAUGAUCCACCUCCCUCCUAGGUGGUAAUUUCUUGGGUAACUCCGGCGGCAUCACGUCCUUAUUUUCUUCAAGGACAUUCUUGAUGACUUCGGGCACAUUAUCGUCACCCACAACUUCCUCAACUUGGUCCUCCAUUUUUAAUGCUGCCAAAUACGUCGCCUCUCCUUUCUUUAGCCCUUUUGCUAGUUGCAUGGCCGAAAGCUGCCCUAUUACUUUCGUCCUAGCUACCGUAGGAACCAUGCAUGGAGAACCCCUCUCCAAGAUGCAAACCGAGCCAAAGGAAGGCAUAGGAAUAGCAUUGACCUUCCUCAUGAAGUCCAACCCAAGAACCAAGCGAAAAUCAUCCAUUGUAGCCACCGAAAAAUCCACUUGGCCAUGCCAAGUGCCUAAUUGAAUUUCCACUCCUCGAACUAUGCCACCAAGGGGCGUGGAUGGAGAAUUCACAGCUUUCAUAAGACCACCACCUUUAGUGAUUGUGAGGCCCAACCUUCUAGCCUCAUCUUCAGUAAUGAAGUUGUUGGUAGCUCCCGUAUCCACCAUUGCUAGUGCGGGCCGACUAUUUACUUGAGCUUCCACAUACAUUAAUUCUCGUUUAUUAUUGGAAGUCGGAAUGACCUUAGCAUUGAGAGCGUUAAGAAGUUGCAAUGAACUAAAAUGUUCCGCCCUUCGAUCUUGGCAAGAGGAUGAAUCCCGUUCCUCUGCCAUAGCCGCCAAUGUGCUAAGUUUAGGGCAAUCACGCAUUAAAUGUGGCCCCUUGCACACGAAGCAUCCACUUUGAGAACCCGUCGAGGCCUUCUUCUUUUCCUCAUAAUUUUUUCGCGAGAGGGAAGGUUUGUAAGUGUUACCACCUUUGAAGAAUGAUGACUUAUGGUAAUCUUUCUUCUCUCCCCCGCCUUUAGCCGAGUUACUCUUAAAGCUUUUAGAAGAUUUUGAUGAAUCCGUGCUCCUUUGGAACUCGGUUAAAGAUUCGGCCACCACAAUAGCCUCGUCUACUGUCUUCACUCCCCGACAUUGAAGUUCUUACUUCGCCCAAUUUUGCAAUCCGUCGGUAAAGUGAUACAAUAGAUCUUCAUCUGACAUGCUCGGGAUUUGAAGCACAAGGGUAGUAAACUCUUUGACAUAAUCGCGAAUAGUGCCCUUAUGUUUCAAUUCCCUAAGCUUUUUACGGGCCUCAUAUACUACAUUUUCGGGAUAAAAUUGGCGUUUCAAUUCCUUCUUGAAAUCAUCCCAUCUAUCUAUCCUACAAGCACCCUUUUCUAUGUCGGCGUGCUUACGUCGCCACCAUAGAGCCGCGGUGUCCAUAAGAUACAUAGUCGAAGUACGUACCUUAAUAGCUUCAUCCAAAAUGUUCACGACCUCAAAAUAUAUUUCCAAUCGCCAUAGGAAAUCAUCUAGCUCUUUUGCAUCUCGCUUUCCAUCGAACUCCCUAGGCUUUGGAUAGUCGAUCCUUGGAGCCGCUAGAAUCGUGCUAGUACCCGCACUAGUUGACGCCUUCUUACAAGCGUCUAGGCCACUUUGCAUAUCCGCGCAAAGCUUGUUCACUUGGUCUUGGAUCGCUUUGACAGCAUCCAUGACCUUAUCCUCCAACUUCGUAUAUUCUUUCCUUAAAGCGCCUUGGUCUUCCUUGAGAUCAUCAAGUUGUUCCAAAGUGUGAGCUUCAAGGGUUGAGAGUGAAUUCUCCACUACUUCAAUGCGUUUCCCCAUAUUGAGAAAUACUUCCUCAAGAGAUCCACCGGUAGGGGCUGGUGGUCGGCUCUUGCUUCGAGUUUGUCGAGUUUUCUUACUCGUGGUUUGGGGUUCGACCUCUCCACCCCGCUCGUCAUGUUCUACUUCCGAAAUGUCGGAUCCCACAACAUCUUUUUCGCUAUGCCAACGAUAGUAAGUAAGCAAACCUAGGCUCUGAUACCAACUGUCACGGACUUGCUAAUUUCCUUCAAGAACCGUGCGGCCUUAGUGUCUUCAACUUCCGCCCCCCGCGAUUAUUACACUAAGUCAGCCUCCCGAUUGGCGUUGAUGUCUUAGAAAGGCACUAAGUAGAAUACUUUAAGAAAGGGACAAUGAAGGAACACAAGAACUUACAAAGAAGGCUUUGUAUUGAAUAAGGAUACUCUUUACAACUUCACUCUCUUGAUACCUUCAAAUGAAUCCUACCAAGCUAUUUAUAGUAGUAGCCUCCUCAAAUGGAUGGUUAGGAUCUUUUCUAUCCAAUGGUCUAGAUUACACAUCUAGAAUUACCUAUACAAAUAUUUACAUUAAAAUAUUUAUGGACUAAACUAG
rnacentral:lncRNA from 1 species